AUUGAACGCUGGCGGCAGGCCUAACACAUGCAAGUCGAGCGAGCGGCGGACGGGUGAGUAAUGUCUGGGAAACUGCCUGAUGGAGGGGGAUAACUACUGGAAACGGUAGCUAAUACCGCAUACCAUCAGAUGUGCCCAGAUGGGAUUAGCUAGUAGGUGGGGUAACGGCUCACCUAGGCGACGAUCCCUAGCUGGUCGGAGAGGAUGACCAGCCAAACUGGAACUGAGACACGGUCCAGCCUCCUACGGAGGGCGUCAGGGGGGAUGAUUGCACAAUGGGCGCAAGCCGUAUGCAGCCAUGCGGCGGGUGGUAGAAAGGCCUUCGGGUUGUAAAGCACUUUCAGCGGGGAGACGUUACCCGCAGAAGAAGCAACGGCUAACUCCGUGCCAGCAGCCGCGGUAAUUC
rnacentral:rRNA from 1 species